ACUGGUUGGUUGCUAGCUAGCUAGGACUCCGUUACACAAGGCGGGAGGCAGCGGUAACACUGGUUGCUAGCUAGCUAGGACUCCGUUACACAAGGCGGGAGGCAGCGGUAACACUGGUUGCUAGCUAGCUAGGACUCCGUUACACAAGGCGGGAGGCAGCGGUAACUGGUUGGUAGCUAGCUAGGACUCUGGUACACAAGGCGAGAGGCAGCCGUAACUGGUUGGUUGGUAGCUAGCUGGGACUCCGUUACACAAGGCGGGAGGCAGCGGUAACUGGUUGGUUGCUAGCUAGGACUCCGGUACACAAGGCGGGAGGCAGCGGUAACUGGUUGGUAGCUAGCUAGGACUCCAUUACACAAGGCGGGAGGCAGCGGUAACUGGUUGGUAGCUAGGACUCCGGUACACAAGGCGGGAGGCAGCGGUAACUGGUUGGUUGGUAGCUAGGACUCCGGUACACAAGGCGGGAGGCAGCGGUAACUGGUUGGUAGCUAGCUAGGACUCCGGUACACAAGGCGGGAGGCAGCGGUAACUGGUUGGUUGGUAGCUAGCUAGGACUCCGGUACACAAGGCGGGAGGCAGCGGUAACUGGUUGGUAGCUAGCUAGGACUCCGGUACACAAGGCGGGAGGCAGCGGUAACUGGUUGGUAGCUAGCUAGGACUCCAUUACACAAGGCGGGAGGCAGCGGUAACUGGUUGGUAGCUAGCUAGGACUCCAUUACACAAGGCGGGAGGCAGCGGUA